GUAAGUUUCUGGCUGGGGAGGGCGCGUGGGGAGGAGAGGGAGGGGUGCAUGUAUACAGAAGGGGGGAGGGGGGAGCAGAUUUCCUGCGGGGAGGCUGAAUGCAUAUGGAGAGUAGAUUUCCUGAAGGGAGGGUGGAGGCGUAGACGGACCGACUCUGCUCGCCCCUCAUCUCACCCCCCAGGCGAAGACUGGUCUUCUUGUCGGAUUGCCCAUGCACUUGUUGCAGAAACAGCCAAGGCCCUGGCUCUGGAGGAUGCUGAAGGAGGAAGACACAGAAGCAGGACGACCCUGAGAGAUUAAGCCUCUUAAUCGUGCAACAGGUAGCUUCUCUGACAUUCUGGGUGUUUGAACACUCGUUUCUUUGAUCCUUGUGUUGUGGAAAAUGCCCCACGGAGGGGAGGUCAGCUGCGCUGGGCCUGGACGCCCAUGUGCAUGUGUGCAUUCCAGGCAGAUUCUUUACCUUCUGCGCCACUAGGGAAGCCCCCUCAGGGGUGGAUAUCCAGGUGCAAAUGGAAAACACCUGAUUGACCAAGAGAUGCGCUCUUAAUAUAUUCUCACUUGGAAUAUAUUAAAAGGGAUGUUUCUACUUUAGAACUCAAAUAGAGCUUUUUGUUGAUUCGAGUGAGUGAAACUUUGCAUUAUUGGGUCAGCUACAUGGAACCGGUCGUUGGCUGUGGGGGCUGGAAGGAGCCCAGAAACCCUCCAGUCAAACUUUACCCUUUCUAGAGUUGAAAAGACACAGGCAGAUCAAGUGACUUGCUCACGGCUACUCAUUAGUUCAUGAAAGUGUUUCUUGAAAGUCCAUUAUAUUUUCUCAAGAAAAACAACACAAAACCACUGGAAACAGGGCAAAGCAACAUCUGAGCAAGUGCUAGGAAAAAGCUGUGGAUGAGUGCUUGUUUCCCGUUUCUCAGUUUGGAUUCUUUGGGGUUGUGAAUGUCAUAAAAUGGAACUCAAAGGGGCUCCCACAGCACAGGGAAUUAAAUUAAGUGACUUGUACCAGUAAAAUGCAGAGAUGGGAUGGACUAUAGGGUACAUGUGUGAUAGCUCAACUUGUCAUCAGCAGUCCAGUUUCUUCCCUUCGCUCAGCUGCUUUUCCAUGGUGUCAGUGCAUCCUAGGGCUUGCUUUUCUCCUGGAGGCAAAAUGGCCACAGAAGUUUCUGAGCUUAUUGUUGCAUACCCCUCCAGCCAGAAGGAAAGAAGCAUCCUUUCCAGUAACUCUUUAAAAGACUGAGAAAGUAUUUUUUUCCAGAAGUCCCUCCCCAGAAAGCCAAUCCUGGCAUUUCAUUGGCCUGAACUGAGUCAUAUGUUCAUUCCUUAGCCAAUCACAGUGGCUAGGUGAACACCCCCUGUUGAUUGACAGGGACGGGAGCUAUUUCCUAAUUGGCUUAUCCCUACACUGGGUGAUAUGUCAUCUUCCCUCAGAGCACCUGGGUUGGGGAAAACAGAGGUCUGGAUACUGUUGUGGGAGGAGGGAAAUGGGAGAAAUGACAAAUGGUAUUUAUUAUAUUGUAUAAUCUAUAGACUAGCUACUAAUUGUUGGGGUAACAGUGAGAGGAAACCCACUCUUAAAUAGUGGAAGUCUGAAUUUUAAAGUGUUUAACAUAGCAUAGUUUCAGACAGAACCUUCUCAAACAGUUCCUGUUGGAAGUCUUGCAACUGAUCUGCUUUUCAGUAUGUCUUAGGAGGUUAACUAUGCCUUGUACAAUGCUGUUUUAUUUCUAAUAUGCUUAUUCAACCUUUUUAUAGCCAGAAUAAACACUCUACUCGAAUUCUGAGUUAGUGGAGAUUAAAUUACAGUAAUGAAGUUGCUCUUCUAUAACCUCAUCUAUAAGAUGGGAAUAAGAAAAGCACCUUCUUUAUAGAUUUGUUAUUAGGAUUAACUGAGGUAAUCUAAGCAAAGUGCCCAAUGGCCCAGUGGCUAGCCCAAUAAAUGUUAUCUCUGUUAGCUUGAUAUAACUCAAAAUAUUGUCAUAUUUACAUGUUUAUGUGCAUGUUUAAUCUAGGAAAUUAACUCUUUACAACAAAUAUAUUUCACUGAUUAGCUCAGUUAGAGACAAGGUAAGUGAACGUAUUAAAAUAUUUAGUGUUUAUUGAUUUUUAAACUUUUUUAAUAGUUAAUUUUGGGGGAAAAAUUAAAUAAAGAAAAAUUUAAGUAGCACAUUGUUAAAUUAAAGGUAGCUCAGUUGGUAAAGAAUCCACCUGCAAUGCAGGAGACCACAGUUUGAUUCCCGGGUCGGGAUGAUCUGCUGGAGAAGGGAUAGGCUCCCCACUCCAGUAUCUUUGGGCUUCCCUGGGUGCUCAGUUGGUAAAGAACCCGCCUGCAUUGUGGGAGCCCUGGUUUCGCUCCCUGGGUUGGGAAGAUCCGCUGGAGAAGGGAAAGGCUACCCGCUCCAAUAUUCUGGCUUAGAGGAUUCCAUGGACUGUAGAGUCCAUGGGGUCACAAAGAGUUGGACACGACUGAGUGACCUUCACUUUCACUUUCAUAAUCCCUGGAAAAUAGGGAAUUUUACCUUUAUGUAUUAAUGUAUUCUUGGUUGAAAAAAAGUCUUGUAAGUAGCUGAGAGCCUGUCAUGACCAACUGAUUUUCUUGCCGCCAUUCUCUGUUUGGAGGUUCUGGAGGGGCAGGUGGCCCUCCUCAGCUUUGGCUUCCCACAGUUGAGCUUUCCUGGGUGGAUGGGGUGGACUUUAGGAUCAUCUGGAUUGGAUGAGAUGCUGCAGUAGAGAGAAGCUACCCUUGGGCUUUUAUUUCAGUGUGGAUUGUUCUCGAGAGCCUUGGGUGCCAUCAGGCUGACCUCAGAAUUCUAGGAGCUGAAGGGUCUUGGUUUGGGGUUCCCAGAUCAGUGGUGGGAAGAACACAAGUUGGCACAGGACCCUGAAAUUGAUUUCUGAAAUAGGAGGUGAUAACUGUGAGGAUGCGGGAUGGAUAGGGCACAGUGAGGCGCUUAUGGAUGGGAGGGAAAAGUUCCAGAGUGACCAGGAACUUAUAGACCACAAAUUUAUAAACCAAAAACAUUUUCAUUCUCUUCCCUGCUGAACACUGACUUAAAUUUUCUGUAGGUUGUUUGUUGCCCUGAAGACUGGCUGGUCACCAUGGUGAUAAAGUAGAUGAGAACUGGUGAUACCUGAAUGACUGACCUUAAAUUCCUUGGUUUGGAGGAUGCUGUAGAGAAGUGAUCCUCAAAUGUACAACAGAUCACCUGGACCAAGAAACUACACAAAAGAAUUGAGGGGAUUAGCUUAAGGCUACCAAUUUUUUUUCUUAAAAUUUCGCCAAGGAAGAGCAAUUUCAUAAAAGAAAGGACCAUCUUGUUGCUAAAAUGGUAGGAAAGAGAUAGUCUAACGAGUAGAAUCUUUACAUUGAAAACAUUCAGCUUUGGGAAUGAUUAUU
ensembl:lncRNA